rnacentral:rRNA from 1 species
AGCGAACGCUGGCGGCAGGCCUAACACAUGCAAGUCGAACGAACCCUUCGGGGUUAGUGGCGGACGGGUGAGUAACACGUGGGAACGUGCCCUUAGGUUCGGAAUAACUCAGGGAAACUUGUGCUAAUACCGAAUGUGCCCUUCGGGGGAAAGAUUUAUCGCCUUUAGAGCGGCCCGCGUCUGAUUAGCUAGUUGGUGAGGUAAAGGCUCACCAAGGCGACGAUCAGUAGCUGGUCUGAGAGGAUGAUCAGCCACAUUGGGACUGAGACACGGCCCAAACUCCUACGGGAGGCAGCAGUGGGGAAUCUUGCGCAAUGGGCGAAAGCCUGACGCAGCCAUGCCGCGUGAAUGAUGAAGGUCUCAGGAUUGUAAAAUCCUUUCACCGGUGAAGAUAAUGACUGUAGCCGGAGAAGAAGCCCCGGCUAACUUCGUGCCAGCCGCCGCUGUAACAC